rnacentral:rRNA from 1 species
UACGGAGGGGGCUAGCGUUGUUCGGAAUUACUGGGCGUAAAGCGCACGUAGGCGGAUUGUCAAGUCAGGGGUGAAAUCCCGGGGCUCAACCUCGGAACUGCCUUUGAUACUGUCAGGCUAGAGUCCGGAAGAGGUGGGUGGAAUGCCUAGUGUAGAGGUGAAAUUCGCAGAUAUGAGGAAGAACACCGGUGGCGAAGGCGGCCCGCUGGUCCGGUACUGACGCUGAGGUGCGAAAGCGUGGGGAGCAAACAGG